GACAGAGGUGCCGAGCGUUAGGCGGAAUCACUGGGCUUAAAGCGUGUGUAGGCGGGCGGGCAAGUACCUUGUGAAAUCCCACGGCUCAACCGUGGAACGGCUGGGUAUACUGCCUGUCUUGAGCCAACUAGGGGCGAGCGGAACAGACGGUGGGAGCGGUGAAAUGCGUAGAUAUCGUCUGGAACGCCAAAGGUGAAAACAGCUCGCUGGGGUUGUGCUGACGCUGAGACACGAAGCCAGGGGAGCGAACGGG
rnacentral:rRNA from 1 species